AUGUUUCCUUUUUCUGGUAGCACAGCUGACUGAUACCUGUAAGAAAAUAUUGAGAUAUUUCACUAGAAAAGACUAUUGUAUCAAGUGGCAAACCUAUGUAAUCUAUAUGUGUGUGUGUGUGUGUAAAACAAAAAGUUAAGGUCAUGCUAUACUCUUCAGAGUAUAUUAGUCCUAAAAACUGUCCUCCUGUUUUCUUUCACCCCUUUUUCCAGUUCACCUCUAGAGACUAAUGUGGUAUAGAUUGCUGAUGGAAGAGUUCAACAUAGAAUAACUGUUAUAGCCAGACAUUUUCUGGCAUUUUCCUUUAGUAAAGUACUCAAACUUA